GAAAGCGCCGCUGAGUUCUCCGGGGCUUGAGCUCCGGCGGCUUGGUCACUGCUCCUGGCUGUUGGCUGAGCUCUGGAAGCCCCCUCGCCUUAAUGCAGCGCCCGCUGACGUCACUGCGGCCUGCGACCAAUCAGCGCCUCGCGGUCCCUCUGUAAACCAUUCUGCAUCCCCCGGCCCGGGAGAGUGCGGGGAGACCGCGUUUAGAGGAUCAGUGGCGGCGGCACCCGCGGCCCCGCGCGGCGCGGACGGCGGGCAGCACCGUGCCUGGGCCCCCUCCUGCUCCGGUUCCAGAAUGACGCUCGGCCCAUGGACAGAGCCUGCCCAGUCACUCUCGGCUGCUAUUGAUCCCGAGGAUGAUGGCCGCCCCUAGCCAUUUCCCUCCUCUCUCUUCGGUUCCAGAACAGCCCAAGGAGCAGAAAAGAGUGACAAGGCCGUGAAAGGAGGCGCCUGGGGCGUAGCCGGCUCUAGGAGGUUACCCCAUGCGGAGUACACACCCUGCUACACCCAUCCCGGAGGAGGGAGGAAAUAGCCAGCCCGGAGCACCCCUGGACUCUGCCGGUCCCAGAGGCCACGCAAACUCCGCCCAGACUCGGUGAGGCCGCGGUAAUGCCACGCAGGGAACUGCGUGGAUAAGGUCGCUCGGAUCUGAGCGCCAAGGUCUCCCGCCUCUCCUUCCCGUCUAGUUCUCUCCGGACUCAAAUUGCCUUAAUCUCACCCAUCACUCUCUCAUGGAAAUGAUCUACUCGUGUGCAGUACUUCACAGCUUGUAUCACGGUCUCCCCUGAACCGUAUAGCAAGAGGGUGGUGGGGGGUGGAAGAGAAGGGUACUAUCUCCACUUUCCCGGCCAGGAGGCCCAAGUUAGGAGGCUUGUCCGAGAUCCCUAGGUCAGAGCACUAUUUAAGGUGAGAAGUUGGGUGGGGAGCUUGGCACCUUGCUCCAGUGUGCACUUUGCGCCUGGCCAUGUUUUAUAAGCAAGGGGGGCUUGGGCUGGUUAAGGGGGAGCAGGGACCGCAGGGCCAGGAAAGGGCAGCAUCCGGCAGGCCGGGGCGUCACGGUAUGUGCCUGGCCUGGGUAAACAACUCUGGCUUCCCACGAGCGCUGGAGGGACCCUGGGCAUGGGGCAGGGGCGUGGGGGAGGGGGGGCAGGGGCGUGGGGUGGGGCAGGGAGCGGGUGGAACAGCGAGGUCAAGCGUGGAGAUUCCAGUUGCGAGUCAGCUCCGCGCCGCGGAGCAAAGACAGGACGUGGAUAAUCUUGGGAGGGAGACGCUGAGCUGAAGAACAGAAAAGAGAGACAGAGGCAGAAGUGAGGAGAGAGGGACAGGAAAAGAAAAUAAAGGCAGAAAACCAGAGAAAAGAUGAGACGGAGUGCGGAAAAGCAGGCGGGGAUAAAGAAAGGAAAGAUCUGUCGGGGAAAUGCGGGGAGAAGUGGAGGAAAAGAAACAGAAAUUAGACCCAGAGAGAGACCCUGCCACGAAGAAGGCCGCGGGGACGGGCGCGGAGCCGAGGGCCCUGCAGGCACGGAGGGGGCGUCCCGCGGGUCUGGGGGUGUGCGGCUUUGGGACAGGCGAGUGCGUGCUGAGAGAAAGAGGCAGCGUGUUUGGUGGGAGACUCUGCGCCCGUGGAAAAGCGGCUCUGGGCAGGAAUCCAACAAAUAAAUAAAACGUCUAAGACGGCGUGACAACAAUGUGUAUUUGGGUGCGUGCCCGUGUUCCUCUGUCUGAACACCCAGUAAGGAAGACAAACGGGGCUCGUGCCUCACAGUAAUUAAUCCUCUCACUAAUUGACUCUCUCCCCUUACCUAAUGGCGGUGGUCACUGCCGAUAUCUGGAGAGACAUCAAGUUGGGGGAGACAGAGAGAGAGAACCCCAAAGCUAACGACCUUUGGGACUGAGAUUGAGUUUUUUCUGGACUUGGCAGCUCUAAGCCCUGCCCCCACCUCCACUUUUGGGCAGAGUUCCAUAGAUAUUGCUGCCUUCCUUCCCCCUCCAGGUUUUGGGCAGCAUUAAUAAAGAUCUCCUCAGAUUAGGGUGAUGUGGUUACACACACUGAAGCCCUUCUACCGCCCUCCACCUUGGGAGAUCAGUUUCAGAGGCUGAAAGCCACCCCUGUCCCUGGGACAUUUCUUACCUCCCUGCAAUACCAGCUCCCCCUCCCAUGUUGUUCCCCCAGGGGCCCAGACCCUGCACCCUCUUCUUUCAGGCAGUACUAACUCUUCCAAGGACCUGGGCGGUGUCCCGCAGUCCCCUAAGGCAGGUGAGGUUUUGAACGGGCUGAGAAGCAGUCUGGGGUUGAUGGAAGGAGAGUGGUGGGAGGUCAGGGCAAGGAUGGGGAGAGGCUUCCAGAGACAACCUUCCUCAGACUUGGGUUGAGAGACACAGAGGCGCAGAGAGGCGCAGUUGCCACCAGGCAAGAGAGAGGCCUCUAGGGACAAAGGAGGGAAAGGUGGGCUCUAUGCACUGUGGGAAGGAGCGCCAAGUGUGUGAGAGGCAGGAAGGUGGUCAUGUCUCUGUGACUGUGAGGGUGACAGUUCUGGUCUCUCUGUGUGAGCAUGGGGAAGCCCCCUAUGUUCCCUCACAGCACCCUCAGUUCUUAGACUGGGGAGAAGAGGCAGGGGACUGGUCUGGGACUUGAUGGUCCCCUUGGUAGCUGAGUUGGCUGGAAGGGGUCCAACGCCCACAGUCUGUCUGGUAAUGCAGCUUUGAGGCUUAGGUUUGGGAGGUGAAUGUCAACUCUCACCCCUGUGAGGUGGCAGCUUUGCUCUGUUGGCCUCCUCAGAGGCUAAAUAAAGAAAUGCUGAGAUCUAUAAACCACCCAGCCCAGAGAGAAAAAGGAGGGAGGAAGGGCAGCUCCCUAGAAAAAAAUCCACCCCCUCCCCACCACUAAACACAUUUUUAAUUGUCCCUUGGGAACAUUUGUACAUUUGACCAAAGCAAAUCUCAAAGCAGCAGCAGCAAAAUGAGUCAGAGGGGCUGGUGGUCCAGAGAGAGCUGGGGAUCGGAGAUGGGGAGGUGAGGAGAGGUGGCAGGCAUGUUUGGGAAGGUGAGAAACUUGGUUCCUUUCCCACCAUCUCUGUCAAGCUUUAGAAAGAAAGUGAGCAGGAGAAAUAAAGUUCCAGGGGAAAGAAAGAGAAGGGCAUAUAAAAGGCAAAUCCAACCCAGAAAGGAAAGAAAGUGAAGAAGAAAGAAAAAGGCAGGGAGGGGGGAGAGACUAUAAUAAAAGAGGGUGAAGGCGGCCCCAGGAGGCUGGGCCUCGUCCCAAACCAUCCGUCUUCAUUGUCUCCGUGUGUGCAAAGGCAACUCUGGCAUAAGGAAAACCCACUAUUGGAGCCGAGGCUUUAUUUUAUAUCCUAUACAUCAGGAGGGAGGCAAAGCUUUAUUUUCGCCAAGAGACAGAUAUUUUAUUUCUCUCUUACGGUUUUAUGUGUGAGAGAUGUCAGGUUGCCACAAUGGAUGGCUAAUGCAUAGGCAAGAGGAAGCCGUGUUGGCAUGCUGUGUGUCAUGGGGUCUUGUGGGGGUGAGCGGGCCUGGGAUUUAGGGCUGAUGGGACACUCUGGGGGAUUUCUGCUAAAACAUCUCUCUUCAUAAAUCCAGAAGCAUGGUCAGCUCAACAGGGAGAAGAAGGAGUUUUAGAGGGGAAAGAGUUGGGCUUAGUAAUAAACGAACACACAAAGGAACCGCUUACCUUCCAACAGCCUCGGGCAACAGGGGCACGACAGCCCCAUGGAAAUGCAGACACCCAUGUCCACGCACACAAGCGCCAUUCACAGGGAAGUAUUUUCCUGACACAAAAUCCAAUGUCAGUUUCCUUUCCUUUCCCCGUUUUAUAUUUUUCCACCCCCCUUCACCAGAAAUCUUUUUUAACCUCCUCAGAGCCUUGGGGGAAAAGAGCCAUUAAUUUGCAAAUCAUCUGAUCUGUGAAAGGAUCAAGAUGCCUGGUUUUCACUGCUAAAUCCAACGUCUUGAGUGGACACAGAGGCACACACAAGCCCGUCAUGCUGCCAACCCUUGGGAGCAUAGGUGCCAGAUCUGAAGCCAAGAAAAGACUCCCUCUCCUCCCGGGACCUGCAGCUGAAUUAAGCCUUAGAUUCCAAACUGCAUAAUGUUCAUAUUUUUAAACCUGGAGAGAAGUGGAGAGAUGAAGGGGGACAAAAAGAGGGGGAACUUUGUUAAUUAACGUGUUCCAUUCAGGACUUAGACUAAUUGUCUUCCCCACUUCCAGCCGCCCCCCAACCCAAGCCAUUUCUUACAGGAGUUGCUUUUAUUCAUUCUCAUGUUCUACUUUUCUCAUUUUUGGAUUAAUAUCUACUUGUUUAAUAUCUACUGUGGCGCAAAAACGUGACCACGCUCUUUCUUUUCAGAGGGUUGGAAGCAGCACAGGAUUCCUAGACAAGGAGCUUGGAGACUUGGCUACACUGUCCCUGGCCAUUAGGGAAGACGUUUAGCCUUUCCGGGCCUCAGUUUUCUCAUCUGUAACAUGAGGGGAUUCGGCUAAAUGAUUACUGAGGUCCCUUCCAGCUCCGACCUCCUCUGGCCGAAUGAGAUAAUGUGUGAAAACACUUUGUGAACACUAACACCGGACAGAUGCCAGGGAUCAUUAUUGCAAUUCUAAUCAAUCCUCUUUUCUCCACAUGGAUCUUGGCUGUUUAGUGCCAGCAAGCAGGCUAAAGGGGGCUGAAAGCAAGAAAGCUUAGCGGACAUGGAAAAGCUCUGUGCAGUGGGAGGGAAAAAAAAAACCCUGCAUCUCCAGAAACAUUGUGUCUCUGUGUGCCCCCUGAGGCCUAGUGGGAAGGGUUGGGGAGGAGGAGGCCUGACUUGGUAUGACCCAUUUUGGUCUACAUGGCGGCAGAGAGUGUAUUUCUUCAAAAGCAUUGUUGGUCUCCAAGUGACUGACAUGGGAACCUGAUGGGAAGGCGAUUUGCAAUUGUUUUUUUCCAGGAAGAAAGAAAGAGCAAGGUGUAGCUGAUUAGCAAGUUAAUUAUUUCAGUACCCCAAGGGUUCCAGUGUGGUGGUAAGUUGUCCAGCCCUGGUGUAAUUUCACAGUCUGUGCAUUUCCUGGUGAGCACCUGGGGUGCCCGAGUCUGUCUCUUUCUCUUUCCACCUGCCUUGUGUCUUCCUGACACACCUGGGGAGAUGAGCAGGGGCUGGGGAGGUUGAUGGUACAAGGUACACAUUCGGCUUAGGCUGCGGGUGGGGGCCACACCAAGAACAGGGUGGAGGAAGCCCAACUGAUGCCAUCUACCUCCGCUGAGUGUUUAAUUAUCUGGCCCUUUCUUCUUUAAAAAAUAAUCUUUUGUUUAAUAAAUAUUAAUGAGGCGGGUUAUCGGAAAGUGUAGUUGCCAUGAGGUUAUUUCCCCAGCCUUAGCAUGGAAAGAAACUGGGUUUGAGGAGCCUUUCGGCCCCUCACCGCCUUCUACCCCCACCAGCUCUCCCGUGCUCACGUUCCGCAGCAGCUCUUCCGGUCUCACUUCAAGAUUUGAUUUCCCCUUGGGGGAGGGUAGGGGAGGGAGGAUCAUGUGGUCAAAUGGACACUUCCCCUCGGAGAGAUAAGUUGGAGAUGUGAACAUUAGCCUCAAGAAUUAACAGCUUCUGCCGCUCUCUGCUCUCGGGGCUGAGAGGGCCAGCCCCCCCGCUGCUCCUUCCGCGAUGGAUGAAGGGAGGGCUCUACAGUUUACUUAAGAGUGGUCCCAUCUGCUCAGACUGGCCUUUCAUAAGGGGAGGGAUUUAUGCAGUGUCCUUGUGCACAGACCUGGGAUUUGGCUGAAAACCUUGGGCCUCUGAGAAUAUUACUGAACGCUAAAACGUUCAGCCAUGGAGAUGAUUCAUGAUUUUGUCUGCAUGGACAGUGUGUGUGUGUGUGUGUGUGUGUGUGCGCGCGCGCGCGCGCGUGUGUGUUUGUUGGGGUUGCACGCACAGUGAUGAUGGGUGCCACUCACCGUUCUCACUUUGAAUCCAAAUGUUAGGAAACUUUUUUUCCUUCUGUAUUCACUCAGGAGACAGGCCCUGGCACCAGGCUCUGGAGACCCCACUUCCUGACUCCAGCGGUGCGAAGAUGAUACAAUACUUUCUGGUGCUGACAUUCAGCUGUCUCCCAAACAGGUUGGCUGAUAGCCCUGCCCGUCCUUGAAGAGGGGCCGGGGGCUGUCUAAAAAGACAGUUCUGAUGACUGCUUCGUUGGUAGUGGCAGAGGAUUUGGGGCACAGGGGUGGAGUUAAGUCCAAUUGCUGUUUAAAUUGGACUUGGCCUCCUUUAUUUUACAGUCCUAAGGGGUCUCCAUAGGAGAAAAAGUAGCGAGAGAAACUUAGAACACAGGAAAGCAAGCAUAGGGAAGAGUUUCUUGUCUCAAUCUUGGUACUGCCGUGCCAAAAUGAAGCCCAGGGAUGGUUAAAAACGGAUCCUAGGGACCGGGCACCUUGGCUCAGGCCUGUAAUCCCAGCACUUUGGGAGAUCAAGAUGGGAGGAUUGCUUGAGGCUAGGAGUUCGAGGCCAGCCUGGCCAACAUAGUGAGACCUCAUCUCCAAAAAUAAAAACUUAAAAAAAAAUUUAAAAAACAAAAACAAAAAUACAGAUCCUAGGGAACAGAGUUUUGAGGUUCCCUGUGGGAUCUUGGCCUGACUCUUGGGAGAUGAAGAAGUCCUUGGCAAGUUUGAAAAGAUCUACAAGUGCCAUCUAUUCAGGGGACUAAAUGUGAUUUCUUUUCACUGCCCAGUGGCUGGUAAGGAAGGAAGCAUUUUGCAUUUUCAGCUUGUAGGAUGGUUAUUGGUGGUCCUACCAUCUUGCUCAUGUUCAAGUUUGGUCGUGUAGAUGAAGAGCCCAGCUUCCCAGCUCUUAGUUUUUCUUUUCCCUCAGGCCAUUCAUAAUUUAGCUAACAUUCUAGUCCAUUGACCAGCAUGCAUUUUGAAAGGUGAGCUGGCAAGCCUGUAACUGUGUGCAAGGUUGUUCUCAUUUAGGCUCCAGGAAGGAUAUAGUUUCCCCAUAAGAAAGAAAAGUGGGCGAGAGGCUGAGGUGGGAGGUCACUUGAGUCCAGGAGGCAAAGAUUGCAGUGAGCUGAGAACCAUGCCACUCACUGCCUUCCAGCUUGGGUGACAGAGUGAGACCCCAUCUCGAAAAAAAAAAAAAAAAAAAAAGAAAAAGAAAGAAAGAAAGAAAUAAAAGCAAGGAACUAUUUAUAUUAAUCUUUUAAUGAAGGAUUUACCAAUCUGAUAAGUACGAAGCUCCUUUUCCUCCUUCUGAAUGAGUAACUAUGUCAGUCAAUGUUGAGGGUCUGCAGAACCUAUACAAAAAUGCUUUCUUUGGUCUCUCAGUUUUAACACAUGCUGGGGCUUGGGCCUGCCUCUGACAGACUGGGGAGGAGUAGACACAUUCCAGAGACCAGGUCUUGGAGUGUUAUCUCUUCCCCCACCUCAAAUCCUCACCCUCCACUUUAUCUGUCUUUAGCACGAAUGCAGAGACCUCCUAGGGAAGUGUGAAGGGAUGGGUUUUCGUCAGGUUUAGGGAAGGAAGGGGAAUAAGAUGAGCCCCAAAGAAAGAUGGGGGUCAUUUGGAAUUUUUAGAUGACACUCUUUUGUUAUACUUUUCUUGUAUUGUGUAUUAUGUCCUACAAAUCGUGCAUUUGUUACAGUAAGCCACAGUGUGUAUGUGUGUUUGCCAAGUGCUGCUUGGCCAAAACAGUGUUAAAUAAAAUUGUAAGAAAUGCUACCAGGGCCUUGCAUGGGUUAUUUAAUUCUAUCAAUGAUAAACAACGUUAAUGUGUAGCAUCUCAG
rnacentral:lncRNA from 10 species